UACGUAGGGGGCAAGCGUUGUCCGGAAUUAUUGGGCGUAAAGCGCGCGCAGGCGGUUCUUUAAGUCUGGUGUCUAAGUGCGGGGCUCAACCCCGUGAUGCACUGGAAACUGGGGAACUUGAGUGCAGAAGAGGAAAGCGGAAUUCCACGUGUAGCGGUGAAAUGCGUAGAGAUGUGGAGGAACACCAGUGGCGAAGGCGGCUUUCUGGACUGUAACUGACGCUGAGGCGCGAAAGCGUGGGGAGCAAACAGG
rnacentral:rRNA from 1 species